CCUCAAUUAAUCUGAAGUUUAAAUGAACGACAGGCUUGAAAUGCAUAAAUGCGACGAACCGCAAAUGGAAACUCGAAUCGGCACUGUAAAUUUCACCCGUACUAGCACUCGGAUAGAUUGUUCAUUCAAACUCCAUUUUUCAAAUCAAAAUCGAGACUCGAUAAAAUAAAAUGGCAGAACGACAAUGAGGAAGAGACUUUUCCGAUCAAUAAUGGUCAGAGACAAUUUCUGCUCCUUUUUUGUCGUCCAAGAAUGCUGGAUAGGGGGGGGGAAGCGACGAGUCUUAUGGUGUUUGGUGUGGUUGUUUGGUUGUUGGGGUGGUGCGUGAUGGGUGGUUGUUGGCUGAAGAAGGAGAACGAGGGUCGUUUCCGGCGAGUACGGUCUUGUGUGUGUAGGGUAAUGUAAUUGGUUGAAGAAGGCUGUUGUUGUUCAUUUGUUUAUGCUAGAUUUCCCACUACCUUGCCGGGCCAUUGGAGAAGAUGACAAAACCAGUAGUGCCUCCGGUGGUUGGGUGUUAGAGACAGUUGGCAGCAGCGGCGGCCGAGGGUUUCUACAGUUUUGCUUCUAGUCCUAAGGUUAAGGAAGAUAUGGCAGCCAUGAGAGUUCUAGUAGUCUUCUAGGAAUUCCAGGUUGAGGUUGUAAGGCUAAG
rnacentral:lncRNA from 1 species